UGGGAGUUGCUGCCCUUGCUCCUGUCUGUCUGUCUUUGAUGCACACUCUAGUCUCAUCCCUAUGCCUGGGUGGGGCCUUCAUGGUCCCCUCAAUCCUGUCUGUCUGGCUCUGGUGCACACUUCAGUCUCACCCCGACGCCUGGGUGCGGCUGGCAGCAUUCUCAGGCUGAGCAUUGCAGAGCAAGGAAUAACGGGUUCACUCCCUCCCUGAUUUCCCAACAGCAGCUAUCUUCCUUCACAGCACUCAAUGCUGAGCGCCCCAACGCCCGAAUAUAAAGAAACCAACCCAACAAUUAACCAAAGAUAGAUCGAUGAUCACCACCCAUGAAGUCGCUCCUGACUGUCUCACUCCAAACUCUUCCUCCCUGUCGGCACCCAGAAUUCUGUCCUUCACGUACAUCGGGAGCACUAGGGAGCCCACAGUACUGGGAGACACCGGAGAAUCCAUCCCAUCUGGAGAAACUUCACUUUUGUUGCAGAGCGCCCACGUUGGGCGCCUCCAUCUGAAACUCAGACCCACACACUCCCCAGUCGGGGGUGAGGGGAGUUGGGGAAGGGCUGGCCACACAGAAAGGGGACAAGAGGCUGCAGACAGUCAAGAAGGGGUCUAGAGGAAUCAACUUCCAGUCUCACUUUAAGCACCCUUUGGGUAGCUGCAGCAGAGAUGUGGCGAACAAGUAGCCCCUGCUAAUUAGCUGAUAGGAGAAGGGACAGGUACAAGAUGGCGUCCCUUCAAGCUCCAUCUGCUGAAGUUCUGAGGCACCCUGCGGCUGGGGAGAGCAGAGCUGACAGGGAGACUAGGUCGGCAGAGUGGAGCCAUCUUGGAUGAAUCCACAUCCCUCUGAGAAGAGGCUCAGAGGAUAACACCAUGAGGAUCCAGCUACCCACAGCAGACAAGAGGACUCUCCUGGGAGCCCAGCUACUCAGAUGGGCAAGACCUUGCUGUCUGUGGGAGGGAGGGAAAAGCUCCUGGUGAAGCCUCAGGCUGCUCACAUAUGUUGCAGUGAGAAUAGACUGGGCUUCAAAGGGAGAGCUAAAAUAGCCGAAUCUAGAGCACCGAAGAAAGCCUGUAGUCGGGUAGGAGGUAACCAAGCUAAACGGAGGAGAGGAGGGAUGAGGUUCUGAGUCAGUGACGUGAGGCUAGCUGCCCCCACUGAAGCCCUUGAGGAACACAUGUAAGGUACGACUGUCCUUUCUUCAUUUUCCAGUCUCUUCUGGUACUGCUGGCCAUCCUGGAACUCUAUGAAGAAAAGACUGGCCUAAAACCCACAGAAAUCCACCAUCCUCUGCCUCCCAAGUGCUGGGAUUAAAGUCGGCACAAACUCGAGCUGGGCAAGUGAGCCCUCAGAAGAUUCCCGUCUUCCUUCCCUGAGCCCUCUCCCCAGCCUCUAGUGCAGAGAAUCCGCUGCCACAGGAGACCAUCCCAGACCACCCCAGAGACAAGGAGCGGAAUGAUGUCGUCACCAAGAACGGCUUCUUUUUUAGGAGAUGUGAAGAACAAAGACUGCUCAGUAAGAUUAUCAGCACACAGACACCGGCAAGGUCGGAGGGGAGUGACCCCUGCCAAGAGACUAACAUCGAGCAGACAGUCAAGGUCAAUGACUAAUGAAGUCAGAGUCAGAGAUGGACAGAGUCAGGUUCCAACCAGCCCUAAGUGGGUGGAUAGCUUAGGGGCGUAAUCUUGAUUGUCCCCCUGGUUGGGUGUGUAGGUCCUCUGUUUGCUUGGCCCAUGAGAAUUAACUGGUCUCAAAGUUUCUGCCUUGGUCUUAUAAAGGGCUUUAGGCAAGGAAGUUCAGUGGUCAUUUCCAACUCCCUUCCCAGGAGUUCCUCUCACUUUUGUUUCACGACUCAACUCUGCUCAAUUUUCACUUUCUGUGACUGUCCUGGAUAGAGCCUGCUUCCAUCUAGCACACAUACUGGCUGGUUUUGUGUGUCAACUUGACACAAGCUAGAGACACCAGAGAGGAAAGAGCCUCCGUUGAGGAAAUGCCCCCAUGGGAUCCAGUUGUGAAGCAUUUCCUCAAGGUGGGGGGCCCAGCUCACGGUAGGUGGUGCCGUCCUGCGCUGCUGGUCCCAGAUUCUAUAAGAAAGCAGGCUGAGCAAGCCAUGGGGAGCAAGGCAAUAAGCAGCAUCCCUCUGCAUCAGCUCCUGCCUCCAGGUUCCAGCCCUGCUGGAGUUCCUGUCCCGACUUCCUCCAGUGAUGGACUGUGGUCUGGAAAUGUGAGCUGAAUUAACCCUGUCCUCCCCAUUUUCUUUUCCUUGAAGUGGUAGAAAACUAAGACAGCAUACUCCCAUGAGAAUCCACAUCCCGAAAUCUCCAUUGGUGUGAGACAGGGGACUUAAAUCCACUGCCUUAGGUCAGCCUUUGAUAACCUAGAGUAUUCAGCUUCCUGGAUCUUUUUUUUUUUCCCCCCCGGAGCUGGGGACUGAACCCAGGGCCUUGCGCUUCCUAGGCAAGCGCUCUAUCACUGAGCUAAAUCCCCAACCCCAGCUUCCUGGAUCUUAAGGUCACACACAACUGUGUGCCAUGAAAAGACCCCUUAAUACUAAAAGACCUGGUCUUACCGAUGCUCUGAUUUUGGAUUUCCAGCCUCCAGAUAUGUCUGUCUGCUGUGGUUUGUAUAAGGAUGCGCCCCCACCACCACCACAGGUUCAGAUAUUUGGAUGCUAAAUCGCCAGUUGGACUGUUUGGAAGGAUGGCAAAGUAUGGCCUUGAUGGAGGUGGGCACACGUCAGCCCCCUUCCCCCUCUGCUUUGCCUGCUGCCUGUGAAUCAGUAUCUAAACUUCUCUGCUACUGUUCUCCAGUGCAGUGCCUGCCGGCUUCCUGCCAUCAUGACCAUGGACUAACCCUCUGAAAGCAGAAACACGUCCCCAGUUAAAUGCUUUUUAAUAAGAGCUGCCUUGCUCAUGGUGUCUCUUCACAGCAAAAGACACUGUUUUGGGGAAGCCACACAUUACUAGGGUGCCAUUGUGAAGCCUGAUGACAUUGUGAUGACAUCAUGAUGAUAUUGUGAUGACGUCAUGAUGACAUCAGACCCCGUCUUCCUUAUCUCACCAAAUGAUGUCAUUCAUCUUCUCAGCUGACACAUACACAGGACAUAUCCAAGGACACAUUAGACUCUUCCUAGCACUCCAGUCAUCAAUCAUAAUCAAGUACUAAAGGACAGUCAUCAAAUUCCAGAUGGAGAUCUUUUAAGUACAUCUGUGCUCUUCUCUGAGAGAGGCUGUAUCAUGUGGUGGUUAAAGUGUGGACUGGGAAGCCAGACUUCCUUGGUCCAAAAACUGUCAGUUAAACAGCCAUUUCCCCCACUGAAGCAUUCCUGCCUAGAGUGACUUCAGAUUGUUUGGGGAUAUGAACAAGUUCUCAUUAAUUGUGAGAGCAUUCCUGCAAUGUGCGGCUCCUUCUGUUUUCUCAUGUGUGUGUGUGUGUUGUGUGUGUGUGUAUGCUGUGUGUCUGUGUGUGUAUGUGUACAUACUGUGUCUCUGUGUGUUUUUACGCUGUGUGUCUCUGUCUAUGUACACUGUGUGUGUCUGUGUACACAUUGUGUCUCUCUGUGUGUGUAUGUGUGUGUUUGCUGUGUAUCUGUAUGUGUAUGUGUACACAGUUUCUCUGUGUGUAGGUGUACACACUGUUUCUCUCUGUGUGUACACUGUGUCUGUGUAUGUCUACAUACUGUGUGUCUAUGUACACGUUGUGUCUGUGUGUAUACGUGUGAACUCUGUGCGUCUGUGUCUACGUGUAUGGGUGUGUGUACAUUUACGUGCACAUUUGCACAGGUGCACAUACACAUGUGCACGUGUGUGGAAGCCUGAGGUUGACAAUCCUUUCUCCCUUUGGCACUUUAUUUGUUGAGAUAACAUUGCUCUACUGAUCCUACAGCUCACAAACUGACUCAACUAGCUGGCUAGAAACCUUUUGAGAUCUGUCUGCUUCUACGUCCCAGCUCUGCCGUCACAGCCGUGUGUGGCCACGCCUGACUUUUAAUGUGGGUACGCUUUACCCACUGAAUUAUCUCCCCAGCCCAUCUCUAUCUAAAUGCAAAGUUAGUAAGUGAGCUACAAUCGAGUGGAACAGGUUUCUGUCCAUCUGUAGACGGGCCCUGACUUAAGAUGUUCCACUUUAGAAUGGUGUGACAGGAACGUGUACAAUUAGCAGAAAUAGCCUUUGACUUUUGAAUCUGGGUCUUUCCUUGGGCUGGUGCUAGGCAGUACAGCGCCCUCUGGUGGUCACAGGAGAACAGACGCCCCAGCAGUACUCCGUGCUCUGCAUAUGUGCAUUAGUUGGUAUGAGGUAUGAGGUGUGAGGGGUUACAUCCUGAUAACCCCAUCUAAGCCAAUAAUCGCCAGCAUUCCCGAAGUCCCUGACAUCUUCCUGACUGUUCUGGUCUCCAUCUUGGUUAUCAUGUUUCCAGUGGUGGGCUAGAAGGUCAAAAUCAGUGAAUACAGAGCUGCUGCUUUGAGCAGGGGAAGAGGUAGGGCCCAGUGAUUUUCUGCUUAUACUUUGAGGAGGGUAUGCUGGGCCUUGUGAAUACCAAGCACUCGCCACUGUGAGCUACAGUAUCUCAAGUCCCGGCAACAGCUUUGUAGUUAAGAUGAUACUUGUCGUAUCUGGGUUUGUCUGUAAACAUCCGUCAUAAGCAAACCGAAAUCAUCAACACCAAAGACUAAAUUUUCUACAUAACUGUUGUCUCAUUCAAUUAUUGCCUGGGUGUUUAGUUUAAAAUUUUGUCUAUAUUUUCACUUUUUACCUAUUCUUUCACUCACAUAACAGAGUGGAAACCUUAAUGUAAAAAUGCACCAAUCACUCUGGGAGUCUGAAAACCAGGUAUUCGGUUUCUUUUCUCUCACAUAUUUCGCUUUGUGCUUUCCCCUAAAACAAGUUUUAAAGUGAGGCUGGAGAGAUGGAUCAGUGGUUAAGUACACACAAUGCUCUUGCAGAGGUCCUGAGUUCAAAUCCCAGUACCUACCUCAGGUGGUCCCCGAACAUCUAUAACUCUAGCUUCAUGGACCUGACACCCAUUUCUGAACUACAAGGGUACCUGCAAAACACACACACACACACACACACACACACACACACACACACACAUACCACAUACACAUACACACCACAUACACACACACCACAUACACACAUACCACAUACACAUACACACCACAUACACACACACCACAUACAUACACACCACAUACACACACACCACGUACAUACACACCACAUACACACACACCACAUACACACACACCACAUACACACACACAUACCACAUACACACACACCACAUACACACACACACACCACAUACACACACACCACAUACACAUACACACCACAUACACACACACCACAUACACACACACCACAUACACACACAUCACAUAUACACACACACCACAUACACACACACUCACAUACACACACACAUACACACACCACAUACACACACACUCACACACACAUCACAUAUACACACACACCACAUACACACACACUCACACACACAUCACAUAUACACACACACCACAUACACACACACUCACACACACAUCACAUAUACACACACACCACAUACACACACACACCACAUACACACACACUCACACACACAUCACAUAUACACACACACCACAUACACACACCACACACAUCACAUAUACACACACACCACAUACACACACGCACCACAUACACACACCACACACACACACACACACACACUCUUACAUACACACACACUACAAUACACACUCCUUUACAACAUUUUAAAACAUGUGUAUAGAAGUUAUUCUUGGCUGCUUCUGUGUGACGUAACGUGAUAUCAGGGGGUUCUGUCAGUGCUGAAGGUGGAACCCUUGUAUAAACUGGGCAAGCUCUCUGCCACCGAGCUUCUUCCCCAGUCUGUGUUUCCUGGAAGUGAUUCCCUGUUAGCACAGCCAGGCCUCAAACUUAUAACUCUCCUGCAUGCUGGUUUAAACCGUCACACCCAGGGUGAUGUCAUUUUGAACAGAGUAUAAGAUAGUUAAAUCGAGCUAAUUAACUCAUCUAUCACCUCGAAUAUUUGACUUUUUAUGGGAAGAAUACUGGGAUUUAUUUUCUCAGUGACUAAAUUGUAUCAAAUUGAGGCUGGCCAGAUGGCUCAUGUGAAGGCACCUGCUGCUGGGCCAGAGAGAACUGAGUCCUGCAAGUCGUCACCUGACCUCCUCGUGCAUACAUUCGAGCGUGCCUGAACACACUAAAUAAGGAAAAGUAGAAAAAAUUUAAAAGCAAUGCACGGCUCUCAAUUAUUCACUAUACUGAGCAAGAGCUAUAAAAAUAAAAUGUAUUCUUCCCAUGUAA